rnacentral:rRNA from 1 species
CAUAGUAUUUAGUAGCUAGAGGUGAAAUUCUUGGAUUUACGAAAGACUAACUUCUGCGAAAGCAUUUGCCAAGGAUGUUUUCCUUAAUCCAGAACGAAAGUUAGGGGAUCGAAGACGAUCAGAUACCGUCGUAGUCUUAACCAUAAACUAUGCCGACUAGGGAUCAGACUGUCGUUAAUUUACUGACGCGUUUGGCACCUUAUGAGAAAUCAAAGUUUUUGGGUUCCGGGGGGAGUAUGGUCGCAAGGCUGAAACUUAAAGGAAUUGACGGAAGGGCACCACCAGGAGUGGAGCCUGCGGCUUAAUUUGACUCAACACGGGGAAACUCACCAGGUCCAGACAUAGUAAGGAUUGACAGAUUGAGAGCUCUUUCUUGAUUCUAUGGGUGGUGGUGCAUGGCCGUUCUUAGUUGGUGGAGUGAUUUGUCUGCUUAAUUGCGUUAACGAACGAGACCUUAACCUGCUAAAUAGUUAUGCCAACUUUUGUUGGUAGCCAACUUCUUAGAGGGACUGUCGGCAUCAAGCCGACGGAAGUUUGAGGCAAUAACAGGUCUGUUAUGCCCUUAGAUGUCCUGGGCCGCACGCGCGCUACACUGAUGAAGUCAACGAGUUUAUAACCUUGGCCGGAAGGUCUGGGUAAUCUUUUGAAACUUCAUCGUGCUGGGGAUAGAGCAUUGCAAUUAUUGCUCUUCAACGAGGAAUUCCUAGUAAGCGUGAGUCAUCAGCUCGCGCUGAUUACGUCCCUGCCCUUUGUACACACCGCCCGUCGCUACUACCGAUUGAAUGGCUUAGUGAGUCCCUCGGAUCGGCGUCGAUGAGCUGGCAACAGCACUC